UACGUAGGGCGCGAGCGUUGUCCGGAUUUAUUGGGCGUAAAGAGCGUGUAGGCGGCUUGGUAAGUCCGCUGUGAAAGUCCAGGGCUCAACCCUGGAAUGCCAGUGGAUACUGUCAAGCUAGAGUCCGGAAGAGGCGAGUGGAAUUCCUGGUGUAGCGGUGAAAUGCGCAGAUAUCAGGAGGAACACCAAUGGCGAAGGCAGCUCGCUGGGACGGUACUGACGCUGAGACGCGAAAGCGUGGGGAGCAAACAGG
rnacentral:rRNA from 1 species